rnacentral:sRNA from 1 species
AUUUGGGCAUCCAGCCCCGUGCUGGAGCUGAUGGCUGAGGCAGGGAGGGCAUCGGUGCUGCCGGGGAGCUCUUGGCCACCCUCUGAGGGUGGGGGAGUCUCAAAUCCCCCAAAGGACAGAGUGGACAGGAGGUCAUCAGGAGGGUCUGGGGAGCAGGUGGUCCCUGGGCAUGAGCCCCCUCACGCACCCUGUCCCUACAGAACUCUGACAGCGUCCCACCUGGCUACGAGCCCAUCUCGCUGCUCGAGGCGCUCAACGGCCUCCGGGCUGUCUCCCCGGCCAUCCCCUCGGCCCCUCUUUAUGAAGAAAUCACCUAUUCAGGCAUCUCGGACGGCCUGUCCCAGGCCAGCUGUCCCCUCGCUGCUAUCGACCACAUCCUGGACAGCAGCCGCCAGAAGGGCAGGCCGCAGAGCAAGGCCCCUGACAGCAGCCUGCGGUCCCCGUCUUCCCCCAUCCACGAAGAGGAUGAGGAGAAGCUCUCCGAGGAUGUGGACGCCCCUCCCCCACUGGGUGGUGCAGAGCUGGCCCUGCGGGAAAGCAGCUCCCCCGAGAGUUUCAUAACCGAAGAGGUUGAUGAGUCGUCGUCACCAAAGCAAGGGACCCGAACACCUUCCAUUGAGAAUGUCC